GGCCUUGCGCUCUUUGAGCGGCCGAUAUCAGAUUAGCUAGUUGGUGGGGUAAAAGCUCACCAAGGCGACGAUCUGUAGCGGGUCUGAGAGGAUGAUCCGCCACACUGGAACUGAGACACGGUCCAGACUCCUACGGGAGGCAGCAAUGGGGAAUUUUGGACAAUGGGGGCAACCCUGAUCCAGCCAUGCCGCGGGAGUGAAGAAGGCCUUCGGGUUGUAAAGCUCUUUCGGCCGGGAAGAAAUCGUAUCAGCUAAUACCUGGUGCGGAUGACGGUACCGGCAUAAGAAGCACCGGCUAACUACGUGCCGGCAGCCGCGGUAAUACGUAGGGUGCGAGCGUUAAUCGGAAUUACUGGGCGUAAAGCGUGCGCAGGCGGUUUUGUAAGACAGGCGUGAAAUCCCCGGGCUCAACCUGGGAACUGCGUUUGUGACUGCAAGGCUAGAGUACGGCAGAGGGGGGUGGAAUUCCACGUGUAGCAGUGAAAUGCGUAGAGAUGUGGAGGAACACCAAUGGCGAAGGCAGCCCCCUGGGUCGAUACUGGCGCUCAUGCACGAAAGCGUGGGUAGCAAACAGGAUUAGAUACCCUGGUAGUCCACGCCCUAAACGAUGUCAACUAGGUGUUGGGAGGGUAAAACCUUUUAGUACCGGAGCUAACGCGUGAAGUUGACCGCCUGGGGAGUACGGCCGCAAGGUUAAAACUCAAAGGAAUUGACGGGGACCCGCACAAGCGGUGGAUGAUGUGGAUUAAUUCGAUGCAACGCGAAAAACCUUACCUACCCUUGACAUGUCAGGAACUUUCCAGAGAUGGAUUGGUGCUCGAAAGAGAACCUGAACACAGGUGCUGCAUGGCUGUCGUCAGCUCGUGUCGUGAGAUGUUGGGUUAAGUCCCGCAACGAGCGCAACCCUUGUCGUUAAUUGCCAUCAUUAAGUUGGGCACUUUAGCGAGACUGCCGGUGACAAACCGGAGGAAGGUGGGGAUGACGUCAAGUCCUCAUGGCCCUUAUGGGUAGGGCUUCACACGUCAUACAAUGGUCGGUACAAAGGGUCGCCAACCCGCGAGGGGGAGCUAAUCCCAGAAAGCCGAUCGUAGUCCGGAUUGCAGGCUGCAACUCGCCUGCAUGAAGUCGGAAUCGCUAGUAAUCGUGGAUCAGCAUGUCACGGUGAAUACGUUCCCGGGUCUUGUACACACCGCCCGUCACACCAUGGGAGCGGGUUCCGCCAGAAGUAGGUAGCCUAACCGCAAGGAGGGCGCUUACCACGGCGGGGUUCGUGACUGGGGUGAAGUCGGAACAAGGUA
rnacentral:rRNA from 1 species